AGCUCCAAUAGCGUAUAUUAAAGUUGUUGUGGUUAAAAAGCUCGUAAAAAAGUCGUAAAAAGUAGUGGUUGGUUUGAAUUGAUUCAACACUGACUUUUUUACCCGUGUGUUUUGCCAGAAUCUUACGGGUGAUCUUUACCGAUUGUCCGUUGGAACUGGCAGGUUUACUUUGAAAAAAUUAGAGUGCUCAAAGCAAGCUUACUGCUUGAAUAGUUGCGCAUGGAAUAAUAGAAUAGGAAGUCGUUUCUAUUUUGUUGGUUUUCGGAAAUCGACUUAAUGAUUAAUAGGGAUAGUCGGGGGCAUUCGUAUUCAAACGACAGAGGUGAAAUUCUUGGACCGUUUGAAGACGAACUAAGGCGAAAGCAUUUGCCAAGAAUGUUUUCA
rnacentral:rRNA from 1 species